AUCGCUUCUCGGCCUUUUGGCUAAGAUCAAGUGUAGUAUCUGUUCUUAUCAGUUUAAUAUACACUAAAAAGGAAUGACAUUGAAAACAGCAUAAUAUCAAGUGAUGGGGAUGCUAGAACUCAGCUGAGAAGGGAAAUUUAUAGCCUCAAAUACUUAAAUUGGAAAGAAAAAUGUAU
rnacentral:snRNA from 1 species